rnacentral:rRNA from 1 species
GACGAACGCUGGCGGCGUGCUUAACACAUGCAAGUCGAACGGAAAGGCCCUGCUUUUGUGGGGUGCUCGAGUGGCGAACGGGUGAGUAACACGCGAGUAACCUGCCCUUGUCUUUGGGAUAACUUCAGGAAACUGGGGCUAAUACCGGGUAGGAGCUCCUGCUGCAUGGUGGGGGUUGGAAAGUUUCGGCGGUUGGGGAUGGUCUCGCGGCUUACCGGCUUGUUGGUGGGGUUGUGGCUUACCAAGGGUUCGACGGGUAGCCGGCCUGGGAGGGUGACCGGCCACAUUGGGACUGAGGUACGGACCAGACUGCUACGGGAGGCAGCAGUGGGGAAUCUUGCACAAUGGGCGGAAGCCUGAUGCAGAAACGCCGGGUGCGGGAUGACGGCUUUCGGGUUGUAAACCGCUUUCGCAUGUGACGAAGCGUGAGUGACGGUAAUGGGUAAAGAAGCACCGGCUAACUACGUG